rnacentral:rRNA from 1 species
UGAGGAUCACGUGAGAAACGUGCCCCAGACUCUGGGAUAACAAUUGGAAACGAUUGCUAAUACCGGAUGACGUCGGAGAACCGCAUGGUUCACUGACGAAAGAUAUUUCGGUUUGGGAGCGUCUCGCGGCCUAUCAGCUUGUUGGUGGGGUAAUGGCCUACCAAGGCAACGACGGGUAGCUGGUCUGAGAGGAUGAUCAGCCACACUGGGACUGAGACACGGCCCAGACUCCUACGGGAGGCAGCAGUGGGGAAUCUUGCGCAAUGGGCGAAAGCCUGACGCAGCAACGCCGCGUGCGGGAUGAAGGCCUUCGGGCUGUAAACCGCUUUCAGCAGGAACGAAAAUGACGGUACCUGCAGAAGAAGGAGCGGCCAACUACGUGCCAGCAGCCGCGGUGACACGUAGGCUCCAAGCGUUGUCCGGAUUUAUUGGGCGUAAAGAGCUCGUAGGCGGUUGAGUAAGUCGGGUGUGAAAACUCUGGGCUUAACCCGGAGACGCCAUCCGAUACUGCUCUGACUAGAGUUCAGGAGGGGAGUGGGGAAUUCCUAGUGUAGCGGUGAAAUGCGCAGAUAUUAGGAGGAACACCGGUGGCGAAGGCGCCACUCUGGACUGAAACUGACGCUGAGGAGCGAAAGCAUGGGUAGCAAACAGGAUUAGAUACCCUGGUAGUCCAUGCCGUA